UCCUGUCCAAUCUCCCCAGGGCUUCCCAGGUUGUUCUCCUGACCCAUCUCCAGGUUCUUUCCUGUCCCAUCCCUCCAGGGCAGUCCAGGUUGUUCUCCUGACCCAUCUCCAGGUUCUUUUCCUGCCCCAUCUCUCCAGAGUGUCCAGGCUGUUUUUCCUGACCCAUCUCCAGGUUCUUUUCCUGUCCCAUCUCCCCAGGGCUGCCCAGGUUGUUCUGGCUCCCAGCUCCCAGUCCCCUCCUGCUGCCAGCAGAGUCCCCCUGGCCAGUGCCAUUCCCUGUCCCCUGGGGCCCAGCUGGGACAAACCUGCUGCUGGCAGCUUCCUGCCCCUCCAAGAGGAGCUGGCCCACGCCAGGAGGAAAGGCUGGAUUGGAGCUGGGAGCACACCAACUCCAGCCCUGCCUGGCCUAAACGAGCUGUUUGGGAUUUUAAUUUUAUUUUUGUUUUUCUUGGAGGCGUGUGGGCAGCCAGAGGCACUUGUGAGGUUGGGCUGGAGGGUGAAAUGUUGCUAUUUUGGCAGAGUUUUGUCAGCCUGCUCCGUGGCUGGGUGACUCCCCUGCUGUCUGAGCUGGGUUCUCGGAGGUUUGGGAUCGUCCCUUUCCCGUCAGGGGUCAGUGGUUUUGGUUUUAAUUUUAAUUUUUUGUCUCCAAUUAAAGGCUGCCAGCCUCCCUUUCCCCCAGUGCUGACUCGCAGCUGUUCUGGGGACAGAUCUGGCACUGCCUGAACCACUUCCAGAAAGUUCUGGGGGCUGCACUUCCUCCCCUGGGCUCUGUCCACUGCAGGCUGCAGCAGGAAGGAUUUGGGACAAAAUCCUCUUUUCCCUAGAGCUGGGGUGUGCUGGAAUAAAUCCCCCUGACCCAAGGCUGAAAACCCCUUUUUUGGGAUAUUUCUCAUGUAAAUGUGAGGAACUUUCCCUGCACUGAGGCUGCCCUGAUGCUCAAAUGCUUUUGAUCAUUUAAGUGCCUAAAGUGUUUCCUCAGUGAGCUUCAGGUGAUGGCAGAGGGCUCAAAUUCUUCAUUUCAGGUGGUUUGGUGGUAAAGAGCUCAAAUUCUUCAUUUCAGGUGAAGGGUUUGGUGGCAAAAAGGGCUCAAAUUCUUCAUUUCAAGUGGUUUGGUGGCAAAAAGGGCUCAAAUUUUUCAUUUCAGGGGGUUUGGUGGGAAAGAAUUGGGCUCAAAUUCUUCAUUUCAGGUGGUUUGGUGGCAAAAAAGGGCUCAAAUUCUUCAUUUCUGGUGAAGGGUUUGGUAGGAAAGGGUUCAAAUUCUUCAUUUCAGGGUGUUUGGUAGCAAAAAAGGGUUCAAAUUCUUCAUUUCAGGUGAAAAGUUUGGUGGUAAAGAGCUCAAAUUCUUCAGGGGGUUUGGUGGGAAAGAAUUGGGCUCAAAUUCUUCAUUUCAGGUGGUUUGGUGGCAAAAAGGGCUCAAGUUCUUCAUUUCUGGUGAAGGGUUUGGUGGC